CCGGGCUCCCAGCACCGCCACCAGCACCAGAACCAGGGCGCAGCUCCUCGGGGGGCCCGCGGCCGCCCCCAGCCCAUGGGGGGCACCUGCAACACACACACACACACACACGGUUCAGGAGACAGCGUGGUUAAUUCGCAGCCUUUUCCAACCUGAGACCCAAAUAUUUCACAGCUGAAAGCAAUCUCUCCCCCUGACCCUCAACCCAGGUUGGAGGAAGAAGUCCUUGGAAAGCAAUGCAGAUGCAGGAGGACUUGCCAGGAAACAUUAAAAACAUCACAACUCACUUCAGAAGCAUUCAGUGGAUGCAGAGCUGCAAGGAAAAUGGUUUAAGGGAUGCAACAGGUGGGCAGAUUGUUGACAACAGAGAGGGAAGAAGCCCAGAGCACCAACAGGUCACUGAUUAUCGCUGUAAUUAACAAGAUCAUUAAUUAAACAUGGAUAAACUGACUGCACACAUGUGGGUGUCAUCAUUUCCCCCCACACCACUGGGAAUGAAAAUACCAUUUUCUUUCCUUUGAGAGUAAUAGGCAACAUCAAGGACAACAGACACACCUGCGGUGCUGACCAUCCUCUGCUGCUCUGUCACAAGGUCUCACAACAACUUCAAACUCUUCUGGGCCACAACAUAGAAUCCAAUUGUAGAAUGGCCUGGAUUGAAAUGGACCACAAUGAUCAUCUGGUUUCAAUCCCCUGCUGUGUGCAGGGUC